rnacentral:pre_miRNA from 1 species
UAAUCUGUUUGAGGCAAAUUAUUAUCUAGUUAUGAUAGACUCAUAUCUGAUUAUGUAUCACUACUGUAUAAACAAUAACUUUUUGAGAUUUUGACUAGAGU